UGGAAGUAAAAGUCGUAACAAGGUCUCCGUUGGUGAACCAGCGGAGGGAUCAUUACCGAGUUUUCAACUCCCUAACCCUUAUGUGAACCUACCUAUUGUUGCUUCGGCGGACUCGCCCCAGCCGGACGCGGACUGGACCAGCGGCCGCCGGGGACCCUCAAACUCUUGUAUUAUCAGCAUCUUCUGAAUACGCCGCAAGGCAAAACAAAUAAAUCAAAACUUUCAACAACGGAUCUCUUGGCUCUGGCAUCGAUGAAGAACGCAGCGAAAUGCGAUAAGUAAUGUGAAUUGCAGAAUCCAGUGAAUCAUCGAAUCUUUGAACGCACAUUGCGCCCGCCAGCAUUCUGGCGGGCAUGCCUGUUCGAGCGUCAUUUCAACCCUCGACCUCCCUUUGGGGAAGUCGGCGUUGGGGACCGGCAGCACACCGCCGGCCCUGAAAUGGAGUGGCGGCCCGUCCGCGGCGACCUCUGCGUAGUAAUCCAACUCGCACCGGAACCCCGACGCGGCCACGCCGUAAAACACCCAACUUCUGAACGUUGACCUCGAAUCAGGUAGGACUACCCGCUGAACUUAAGCAUAUCAAUAAGCGGAGGAA
rnacentral:rRNA from 1 species